GGACCCGCACAAGCGGUGGAACAUGUGGUUUAAUUCGAUGAUACGCGAAGAACCUUACCUGGGUUUGACAUGUUAGUGAAAGUUUUCUGAAAAGAAAUCCCUUUAAAAGCUUGCUUUUAAACACUAUCACAGGUGAUGCAUGGCUGUCGUCAGCUCGUGUCGUGAGAUGUUAGGUUAAGUCCUGCAACGAGCGCAACCCCUAUAUUUAGUUGCCAGCACAUAAUGGUGGGGACUCUAAAUAGACUGCCCGGAAUAACCGGGAGGAAGGUGGGGAUGAUGUCAAGUCAGUAUGUCCCUUAUACCCAGGGCUACACACGUGUUACAAUGGACAGUACAGAAAGUUGCAAUUCCGCGAGGAGGAGCCAAUCUUUAAAACUGUCCCCAGUUCAGAUUGAAGUCUGAAAUUCGACUUCAUGAAGCAGGAAUCGCUAGUAA
rnacentral:rRNA from 1 species